GGGAAUUUUCCGCAAUGGGCGAAAGCCUGACGGAGCAAGACCGCGUGGGGGAGGAAGGUUCUUGGAUUGUCAACCCCUUUUCUCAGGGAAGAACACAAUGACGGUACCUGAGGAAAAAGCAUCGGCUAACUCCGUGCCAGCAGCCGCGGUAAUACCGGGGGAUGCAAGCGUUAUCCGGAAUGAUUGGGCGUAAAGAGUCCGUAGGUAGUCAUCCAAGUCUGCUGUUAAAGAGCGAGGCUUAACCUCGUAAAGGCAGUGGAAACUGGAAGACUAGAGUGUAGUAGGGGCAGAGGGAAUUCCUGGUGUAGCGGUGAAAUGCGUAGAGAUCAGGAAGAACACCCGGUGGCGAAGCGCUC
rnacentral:rRNA from 1 species